rfam:Gulosibacter sp. 10 strain 10(10) genome assembly, contig: Scaffold20
GCCGACUUAGCUCAGCUGGCAGAGCAUCUGUCUUGUAAACAGAAGGUCGCGGGUUCGAUCCCCGCAGUCGGCU